CCUCGAGUUUCCAAAAAUAAAAAAAUGAGAGAUGGUUUGGCCCAGAUAAGGAGGCUUGUUACGAGUUUCAUAGAACAAAUAGUCAUCACACAGAGAAAUGCUUUGCCCUUAUAUAUCACAUAGAGCAGUUAAUUCGAAAAGGGUACCAUGUAUCGGAAGAGAGAACCGACAUGUGAAGAAACUGAAAAGAAUGAGGGAUAUUCGCACGAGAAGUAGACCAAAAAGAAGAGUACGAAAAUCCCCAGCGGGAGACCUCAAGACCAUUGCAGGAGGCUUUUCAAGACAAUAUGUGAUGAAAAUCAACCUAAGGGGUUACAAUGAGUAAUUGGAUUACCAUUUCCGACACCACCUCGAAACAUCUCCGCUGUGAUCUUGAAGUCCUUCACCUCGGUUACCGUGAAACUCAGCCCCUGCCGAUUUAAAGUUGUUGAUGAGAUCAACCAAGGGAUGCACCCAAUAAAUGAAAGGAAGAUGUUCCAGCAAUUAGUGAGAGCAGCAAGCAAGCCAAAUCCAUCACCCAUAGUUACAUGUACAGGGAAAACGUAGAUACAAGAAAACACAACGUUGAUUUGAGAAAAAUACAACACAAAAUACACAAUUCCUGGGGUACAGCAAAAGGUUGUGAUUUGGGAGGGAACAACAUCAAUGUAAAAACUUCCGUAUAACAUUGAAUGAAGAUUCAAUUGAGAAACAUAGUUUCUAGACUCUGCGUUGCUCACACGUGGAUUGCACCCUAAGUUGUUUCAUGUAACUAUAUUACUGAAACCCAUCAUGCCAAUAAGCAUAAAGCUGUAUCAGCUAUACACAAAUACGUUAAUCCAUCUGGGUUGGAUUCGACCACUUUCCAUGUUGCCUGCCAAAGGUUUGAAGAAAUGUCUGACCUAACUGUUGCUUCAGCAACGAUCAUAAUUCAAGGUUUCGUUAAGCGGCAUUGCUAUAAAGAUGCUAUCCAUAAUAAACGGGUCAUAAUAAAGAAGCUGUGAAUUCACCGAUACCUCCGCUCCGUCGCUGAUCAGAACUUAUCGUGUCUGGCAAGGCAGUAACGUAAGUAACAUGUAACUUUCUCCGAUCACUUAUAUGAUUCAUUUUUAGAUCAUCUUUCACCUCUCUGAGUUUGAUUCCGAGUUCUCUAUGUCAAUCAACACCGAGUUUAUUCGGGAGCAUGAGGAUACCAAAAAGACUCUAGAGUUUCUUGUUACGCUGUAGUGAAAUGGAUUGAAAUAUUUUCAACUCUGUGUUGUU